AGUCGACGGAGAUUAUACGCAGAGGCGAUUUCGGUCAAAUCAUGUGUAAUCUUAGUGGCGGACGGGUGAGUAACGCGUGGGUAACCUGCCUUACACUGGGGGAUAACACUUAGAAAUAGGUGCUAAUGCCGCAUAAGCGCACGAAGCCGCAUGGAUUUGUGUGAAAAACUCCGGUGGUGUAAGAUGGACCCGCGUCUGAUUAGCUUGUUGGCGGGGUAACGGCCCACCAAGGCGACGAUCAGUAGCCGGCCUGAGAGGGUGGACGGCCACAUUGGGACUGAGACACGGCCCAAACUCCUACGGGAGGCAGCAGUGGGGGAUAUUGGACAAUGGGGGGAACCCUGAUCCAGCGACGCCGCGUGAGUGAAGAAGUAUUUCGGUAUGUAAAGCUCUGUCAGCAGGGAAGAAAGAAAUGACGGUACCUGACCAAGAAGCCCCGGCUAACUACGUGCCAGCAGCCGCGGUAAUACGUAGGGGGCAAGCGUUAUCCGGAAUUACUGGGUGUAAAGGGAGCGUAGACGGUUAAGUAAGUCUGGAGUGAAAGGCCGGGGCCCAACCCCGGGACUGCUCUGGAAACUAUUGAACUUGAGUGCAGGAGAGGUAAGCGGAAUUCCUAGUGUAGCGGUGAAAUGCGUAGAUAUUAGGAGGAACACCAGUGGCGAAGGCGGCUUACUGGACUGUAACUGACGUUGAGGCUCGAAAGCGUGGGGAGCAAACAGGAUUAGAUACCCUGGUAGUCCACGCCGUAAACGAUGAUUACUAGGUGUCGGUGGGUAUGGACCCAUCGGUGCCGCAGCAAACGCAGUAAGUAAUC
rnacentral:rRNA from 1 species